rnacentral:rRNA from 1 species
AGGGCUACACACGUGCUACAAUGGCGCAUACAAAGAGAAUGCGACCUCGCGAGAAGCAAGCGGACCUCAUAAAAGUGCGUCGUAGUCCGGAUUGGAGUCUUGCAACUCGACUCCAUGGAAAGUCGGAAUCGCUAGUAAUCGUGGAUCAGAAUGCCACGGUGAAUACGUUCCCGGGCCUUGUACACACCGCCCGUCACACCAUGGGAGUGGGUUGCAAAAGAAGUAGGUAGCUUAACCUUCGGGAGGGCGCUUACCACUUUGUGAUUCAUGACUGGGGUGAAGUCGUAACAAGGUAACCGUAGGGGAACCUGCGGUUGGAUCACCUCCUUACCUUAAAGAAGC